rnacentral:rRNA from 1 species
AGAAACCCAAAUUAAUUAACAACGGCUCAAAGAGCGGUUAAAUGAAUACUUUACUCAAUAGUUUAAAAAAUUAACUAAGCCGUUAUACGCAGUAGUUAAAUCUAAAAUCAAUAACGAAAGUAAUACUAAUAAAUUAAAAAUAUUUGAAGCCGCGAAAGCUAUGACACAAACUGGGAUUAGAUACCCCACUAUGCCUAGCCAUAAACUUUGAUCUUUCCGCCAGAGUACUACGAGCAAUA